rnacentral:rRNA from 1 species
UAGGGAAUCUUCCACAAUGGACGCAAGUCUGAUGGAGCAACGCCGCGUGAGUGAAGAAGAUCUUCGGAUCGUAAAACUCUGUUGUUAGAGAAGAACACGCAAGAGAGUAACUGUUCUUGUAUUGACGGUAUCUAACCAGAAAGCCACGGCUAACUACGUGCCAG